AUGGAUUGGUGGCCUUCGGGAACGUCUGACACAGGUGCUGCAUGGCUGUCGUCAGCUCGUGUCGUGAGAGUGUUGGGUUAAGUCCCGUAACGAGCGCAACCCUUGUCCUUAGUUACCAGCACGUUAUGGUGGGCACUCUAAGGAGACUGCCGGUGACAAACCGGAGGAAGGUGGGGAUGACGUCAAGUCAUCAUGGCCCUUACGGCCUGGGCUACACACGUGCUACAAUGGUCGGUACAGAGGGUUGCCAAGCCGCGAGGUGGAGCUAAUCCCAUAAAACCGAUCGUAGUCCGGAUCGCAGUCUGCAACUCGACUGCGUGAAGUCGGAAUCGCUAGUAAUCGUGAAUCAGAAUGUCACGGUGAAUACGUUCCCGGGCCUU
rnacentral:rRNA from 1 species